rnacentral:rRNA from 1 species
AUUGAACGCUGGCGGCAGGCCUAACACAUGCAAGUCGAGCGAGCGGAGGACGGGUGAGUAAUGUAUGGGGACUGCCCGAUAGAGGGGGCUAACUACUGGAAACGGUGGCUAAUACCGCAUACUAUCGGAUAACCCAUAUGGGAUUAGCUAGUAGGUGGGGGAAAGGCUCACCUAGGCGAAGCUCUCUAGCUGGUCUGAUAGGAUGAUCAGCCACACUGGGACUGAGCCACGGCCCAUACUCCUACGGAGGCAGCAUUGGUGAAUAUUGCACAAUGGGCGCAAGCCUGAUGCCGCCAUGCCGCGUGUAUGACGAAGGCCUUAGGGUUGUAAAGUACUUUCAGCGGGGAGGCGUUACCCGCAGAAGAAGCACCGGCUAACUCCGUGCCAGCAGCCGCGGUAAUAC